AUGGACAGAUGGACGACGCGUCAAGUUGGACGACCAUCACACUCAAAGCAACGAACAACUGGUCUCACAGAGGGGAAGAAUGAUGAGCAUCUCCUUCAUCUCUCCUUACCUUGUCAAACCAAAAGACAACAACUCUGCCACCACCACUCAUCCUUUUCUUAUUUCCUUAUAAGAAAAGAAGAAGUGGUUUCCUUAUUAGAAAAAAUAAAAAAUAAUAAAAAAUAAAACUCUGGAUGAAAACACUGACUCUCUUAGGAAACUCGGAGCUAUGAGAAGCCUUUCCAUUACAGGAGGACAUCUGGACUGAUUUUUUUUGCACAGAGCAAAGCUGCAGUAGGACUCUGAGGUACGAGAAAUGUUACUUGAAUCAUCUACUACAUAUAUUUACAACAUGUCUGCUGGCUAACGGAGCCUCCAUAAUUCAUGAAUAGAAGGGUUUUGGGAGAUUGCUCCUUUUGCUGUAGAGAAUAAUAACUUGUAUGUCCUGUCUGAACAUUGCAUAUCAUAAUCAAACCAAAACAUAUUAUUGCAUGCUUGAUAGUAGAGCAUGUGAAAAAGUUUGACUUCCAUGUCACUGGCUCAACCCUGCACUGAUAAUCUAAAAUGGGAACAACAACAACAGCUCAUUGAUAUUAAGUUUAAUGGAAUAAUUCUGCUUGAUUGGUGGAGUUAGUUGCUAAAUCUAUAUUUUUAAAGUAUUGUACUAUGUUUUAAAUAGAGAAAAUUUGGUUCAACUUGUGAAUUACUUUGUAGUUUUGUUUUAUUUUUUUUGUUUUUUACAAUUUUGCAAAUGUGUCUUUAUUUUUUAUUUUUUUAUGCCUUGGUAGUCAAAGCAGCUCCAGUAGGCGGCUCUGCCUGUUAAAACAGAAAAACAAACAAAAAAAAAAACUAAGCAUAAACCUUUGGCCCUAUGAGACGAAUGUUGGUGCAGGUAGUAAAAAACAAAAUCUGUCAAGAUGCAUUUAACGCGGACAUUAUACACCUAAUUUUCUUUGGAUGAUUUUUGAAUGUUCCUGAUUGUGUUGGGUGUUGAUCAGAAUGCUGUAUCAGUUUUAUAUUGAUAACAUCUACCUCAGUGUCCGCUCAUUUACAACAGAAGCUUUAACACCUGAAUGACGUUUCAGUUUCUGAAAGGUUUAGUUUUUAGAUGCCUCUGUAAUUUUCUGGUGCAAUGAAAUACACUCAUGUACUCUUUAAACUGCCAUGUACGAACUAAGAAAAGUCCAAAAAGAUGCUAAAGAUACCAGAGGAGCAGAGUCCUUCCUAUAAUAUUGCCAUUGCCAACAUGUAAUUAGAUAGAAAAUGUCAUACAGACUGAUUAAUGCUACAGCAAAACAGCAUAGAGCCUGACAUGAUGAUUUUCUUUGCACAUUUUGUUAAUUUAUUUGUUAAAUUGUUGAAAGUGUGUGAGUGAGUGUGACUGAUUCCUAGCAUUUUAUUGAUUUAAAGGGCAAUAAUGUAUUGCAGAUGUUUCCUGCAAAUAAAUAGAUGGGUCAGCUUGUCUUAAAGAACCGCUAAACCCCAAACAAUCUCACUAAACAAUGAUUUCAGACUUGGUGAUGGUCUAAAUGUGAGUGUGGAAAACAGUCCAGUUCUUGGGUUCAUUUCACCAAACUGGAGAAAUUUGAAAUUAAUUUUGGAAUAUAUUUAAUGUCUUUUUCAGAACUAGAUGAGAAAAUGGAAAUCAGUUUGAACUGCACAUCAAAUACAGAGAAAAUUGCAAGACUGGAUUAACUUCCAAGUUAGUAAAUUACAACAUGUAGGAGCAUAAAUAACUUUGCAUUUGUGGAAAUGUCUAUUUAUUAGUGCAUAGCGAUACUGGAUUUCCUCUGAUUCCAAUCUUUCUGGUGUUCUAGGCUGAGCUAUUUUCUCAUCUAGUUUUGUGAAAAAUGGUAAAUUAUCUUCCAAAAGAUUUGGCUGUUUAUCAUGAAUAGAAAAUGAAAACUCUGGUUUGAAAAAACUAUCAUCAAAGUUUCAAUGUCAAAGCUGCCAUUUGGUAUAGUUGUAAUUCUGCUUUGCUUGAACAUAAAAAUAGCCAAGGCAUUUGUCACUGAAUGCUUUCAUAUGGACAUUGAGUAUCCAUUAUGAUUAUAGGGUGUGUACAUAUAUAUAUAUAUAUAUAUAUAUAUAUAUAUAUAUAUAUAUAUAUAUAUCCCAUUUUUGGUUUGUAUAUCAUAUCUGAUUUCAGAAACUCAGAAAAGCUCUUUUAAUGUGAUUAGAGCAGCAGAUUUACCCCUAAAUAAGCAAGAAUUCCACUGCAUGUAGUCAACACAUCUUGUCCAUUGACAGCCAAGAGAUGUUAAAGUGAAUGCAAGCGAUGGUGGCAGUGAAAGCCUUUCAUUUUUGGAACACUGAAGAGACAGUAUUUUGUCUUUUGAUAAUGAAAGAAUUCAGUAUACUUAGUUAUUUUGGCUACAUCUAAAUCAUUUUUGUGUUAAUUUUUUCACUUUAAAAUGGAAAAUCAUUUCCAUCCACAGUACAAAAGUGAACAUUCUGACAUGCCUGGAAUGCAUAUGACAUGAUGAGGCAUUUAUAAUCCUGCUGGACAUGGGAAUGGACACACAUUUCUCAGGUAACAGGGAGUCAGCUGUAAACCAGAGGUAACAUGUAGAUUUUAAUAUCAGCUAACACAGACAAUGAGAACACAAUCACUUGUAAUUCAGUAUUCAUUUUGUUGAAUUAAUAGGGCAAGGGUCCCAUCAGGAUUUCUUCCACAAAAGGGGUCCAGUAAAUCAUAGCAUCUGAUAAGUCCUAAUCAAUCAGCAAAUGUGGAUGUCAACGUCACUGUUUCCAAAAGUCUCAGUUUUCAAGAGGUAUAAAUGCUGUGGUGUGGAGAGAAAUUAUCCUGUGUUCAUGUAGCCAGUGGACAAAUUACAGGAUGCUAUCAUCCAGUCAGAAAGGCAAGUGUACUGAUACAGCACAUGGCAACCCGAGCCAGUCUGUAGAGAGUACACAGGCAAUAGCACAGGAAACAAAUAUAUUAGAUAAAUAAAAGCAAAAUACAAAAAAAAAAAAAAGGAAAAUUAUGGUAUGGUAUACAGAAGAAAAAGUACCUCCACAGAAAGCAUGUGGUCAUAAUAAUAGCCUGGGAUACUAGUGUUUAUCGUCUUUAUGGGGAUUUUCUUCCUGUAGGUAAAUAUCACAUCUGUGAUCCACUCAGUAAGUGUCCAUGUAAACACAUUCUUUGACAAAAGCACUAAUGAGCUAAGACUGGGCAUUUGUUAUGAUGAUUAAAAUAUUUUGCUUAUUGUAUGUGCAAUAAUAUUACAAUAUUUUGUUCAUAGAACAGUGUCAAAAGAUUUCCACAUUUUUAACCUUCACUUGAACUUAACUUCAUGUAACAUCCUCUUAACACCUCAAAGAUAUUUUCAUGCAUUGUUAUCAGAGUUCAGGCUGUCACCAAACUCAAACCGUCCCAUAUUUUUUUAUUAUUAUUAUUUUUUAUUUUAUAAGAAAAAGCAAUAGUAUGAAUGGUUACUGUGCUCUGGGAACUUCAGUUUUGAAGUAAAAUGCUUUUUUUUUGCCUUCUUUGAUUUUGUCUGUUUUUAAUUUUAAGUAUUGUUGCCAUGUUUAUUUCGACAAUCUUCAAUUGUGAUCUAUUUUUGAUAAAAUAAAUCUUUAAUCCUGGU
rnacentral:lncRNA from 1 species